AUUUAUAUAGCUUAUAUAGAGUUUAAUAUUGAAGAUAUUAAGGAAGAAGGUUUUCUUAUAAAUA
rnacentral:tRNA from 1 species